rnacentral:rRNA from 1 species
GUAGGUGGCAAGCGUUGUCCGGAAUUAUUGGGCGUAAAGCGCGCGCAGGCGGGUCCUUUAAGUCUGAUGUGAAAGCCCACGGGCUCAACCGUGGAGGGUCAUUGGAAACUGAGGGACUUGAGUACAGAAGAGGAAAGCGGAAUUCCACGUGUAGCGGUGAAAUGCGUAGAGAUGUGGAGGAACACCAGUGGCGAAGGCGGCUUUCUGGUCUGUAACUGACGCUGAGGCGCGAAAGCGUGGGGAGCAAACAGGAUUAGAUACCCUGGUAGUCCACGCCGUAAACGAUGAGCGCUAAGUGUUAGGGGGUUUCCGCCCCUUAGUGCUGCAGCUAACGCAUUAAGCACUCCGCCUGGGGAGUACGACCGCAAGGUUG